rnacentral:lncRNA from 1 species
AUGCAUGGGGACGCCAUGCACGAGGACACAGCAAUGCAUGGGGACGCCAUGCACAAGGACACAGCAAUGCAUGGGGACGCCAUGCACGAGGACACGAUGCACAAAGACACCGUGAGAUGCACAGGGGUGCACUGCUGCAUGGGGACACGCUGCAUGGGGCUGAGCUGCAUGGGGAUUCACUGCAUGGGGUUGCAUUGCAUGGGAUCACAAUGCACAGGGCUGCAUUGAAUGGAGUUGCAUUGUAUGGGAUCACAAUGCACAGGGCUGCAUUUGCAUGGGGUUGCAUUGCACGGGGUCACAAUGCAGACAGAUGCAUUGCAUGGGGCUGCAUUGCACAGGGAUGCAUUGCAUGGGAUCGUAAUGCAUGGGGCUGCAUUUGCAUGGGGCUGCAUUGCAUGGGUCUGUGUUGCUCGGGGCUGCAUUGCACAGGGAUGCACUGCAUGGGAUAACAAUGCACAGGGCUGCAUUGCAUGCCGCUGCAUUGCACAGGGCUGCAUUGCACAGGACCAUAAUGCACAGGGCUGCACUGCACGGGGCUGUGUUGCAUGGGGCUGCAAUGCACAGGGCUGCACUGCAUGGGAUCACAAUGCACAGGGCUGCAUUUGCAUGGGGUUUCAUUUGCAUGGGGUUGCAUUGCAUGGGGUCGCAUUUGCAUGGGGUUGCAUUUGCAUGGGGUUGCAUUGCACGGGGCUGCAUGGCAUGGGGCUGCAUUGCUCAGAGCUGCAUUGCAUGGGGCUGCAUUGCAUGGGGCUGCAUUGCUCAGAGCUGCAUUGCAUGGGGCUGCAUUGCAUGGGGCUGCAUUGCACGGGGCUGCAUUGCAGAGGGAUGCAGCGCACAGAGACGCAUUGAAAGGAGCCGUAAUGCUGCAUGGGGAUGCAUUCCUUGCAUGGAGCUGCACAGCAUGGAGCUGCAUUGCACAGCACUGCAUGGCACUGCAAUGCAUGGCAAUGCACUGUAUGGAACCACAUAUCAGAGCCCCACAUGGCACCCCACAUAUCACAGCCCCACAUAUCACAGCCCCACAUGGCACCCCAUAUAUCACAGCCCCACAUAUCACAGCCCCACAUGGCCCUGCCCCACAUAUCAC